GAUGAAGAACGCAGCGAAAUGCGAUAAGUAAUGUGAAUUGGAGAAUUCAGUGAAUCAUCGAAUCUUUGAACGCACCUUGCACCCUUUGGCAUUCCGAAGGGUAUGCUCGUUUGAGUGUCAUUGUACUCUCACUCUCCCGAUGCUUUUGGAUCGGGAGUGGUGGACUUGGGUGUUGCUGCUUUGCUGUGGCUCGCCUCAAAUGGAGUAGUGCAACUCUUGGUUGGACAUAGUACGGCGUGAUAAGUGUCUUCGCCGGCGCCUCAUUAUAGAGGGUGGCCGAUCGGGAGCUCUGUGCUUCAAACCGUCUUCGGACAACAUCUGACAACUUGACCUCAAAUCGAGUAGGACUACCCGCUGAACUUAAGCAUAUCAAUAAGCGGAGGA
rnacentral:misc_RNA from 1 species